AGUCGAGCGGUAGAGAGGUGCUUGCACCUCUUGAGAGCGGCGGACGGGUGAGUAAAGCCUAGGAAUCUGCCUGGUAGUGGGGGAUAACGCUCGGAAACGGACGCUAAUACCGCAUACGUCCUACGGGAGAAAGCAGGGGACCUUCGGGCCUUGCGCUAUCAGAUGAGCCUAGGUCGGAUUAGCUAGUUGGUGAGGUAAUGGCUCACCAAGGCGACGAUCCGUAACUGGUCUGAGAGGAUGAUCAGUCACACUGGAACUGAGACACGGUCCAGACUCCUACGGGAGGCAGCAGUGGGGAAUAUUGGACAAUGGGCGAAAGCCUGAUCCAGCCAUGCCGCGUGUGUGAAGAAGGUCUUCGGAUUGUAAAGCACUUUAAGUUGGGAGGAAGGGCAGUAAAUUAAUACUUUGCUGUUUUGACGUUACCGACAGAAUAAGCACCGGCUAACUCUGUGCCAGCAGCCGCGGUAAUACAGAGGGUGCAAGCGUUAAUCGGAAUUACUGGGCGUAAAGCGCGCGUAGGUGGUUAGUUAAGUUGGAUGUGAAAUCCCCGGGCUCAACCUGGGAACUGCAUUCAAAACUGACUGACUAGAGUAU
rnacentral:rRNA from 1 species